GUGUGGAGGGCCGCAUGCAUCUACGUGCUCAUGCUGGCCCGCACGCAUAGCAGGCCUUGGUGGGCUGCAUGUGCUAUAGGCCGCGCGUCUAGGCUGUGCAUGCUGUGGCGGGCCUGGGUGCCCGCAGGCCAAGCCUAAGGGCCACGCCUGCAUCGACUGAUGCUGAUCUGUUGGGCUUUCUAUCUUGGAUUUUUCUUCUAAAGAAUUCUCUACUAUAGGUCGAAUUUAAGGCACC
rnacentral:lncRNA from 1 species